GAUGAACGCUGGCGGCGUGCUUAACACAUGCAAGUCGAACGGGGAAGGCGGAGCUUGCUAUGCUGGAUCAGUGGCGAACGGGUGAGUAACACGUGAGCAAUCUGCCCCUGACUCUGGGAUAAGCGCUGGAAACGGCGUCUAAUACUGGAUACGAGCUGCGAAGGCAUCUUCAGCAGCUGGAAAGAAUUUCGGUCAGGGAUGAGCUCGCGGCCUAUCAGCUUGUUGGUGAGGUAAUGGCUAACCAAGGCGUCGACGGGUAGCCGGCCUGAGAGGGUGACCGGCCACACUAGGAAUGAGACACGGCCCAGACUCCUACGGGAGGCAGCAGUGGCAAAUAUUGCACAAUGGGCGAAAGCCUGAUGCAGCAACGCCGCGUGAGGGACGACGGCCCUCGGGUUGUAAACCUCUUUUAGCAGGGAAGAAGCGAAAGUGACGGUACCUGCAGAAAAAGCGCCGGCUAACUACGUG
rnacentral:rRNA from 1 species